rnacentral:rRNA from 1 species
AACGAACGCUGGCGGCAUGCCUAACACAUGCAAGUCGAACGAAGCCUUCGGGCUUAGUGGCGCACGGGUGCGUAACGCGUGGGAAUCUGCCCUUUGGUUCGGAAUAACAGUUGGAAACGACUGCUAAUACCGGAUGAUGACGAAAGUCCAAAGAUUUAUCGCCCAGGGAUGAGCCCGCGUAGGAUUAGCUUGUUGGUGAGGUAAAAGCUCACCAAGGCGACGAUCCUUAGCUGGUCUGAGAGGAUGAUCAGCCACACUGGGACUGAGACACGGCCCAGACUCCUACGGGAGGCAGCAGUGGGGAAUAUUGGACAAUGGGCGAAAGCCUGAUCCAGCAAUGCCGCGUGAGUGAUGAAGGCCUUAGGGUUGUAAAGCUCUUUUACCCGGGAUGAUAAUGACAGUACCGGGAGAAUAAGCCCCGGCUAACUCCGUGCCAGCCGCCGCCGUAA